AGCGAACGCUGGCGGCAGGCCUAACACAUGCAAGUCGAGCGGACCCUUCGGGGUUAGUGGCGGACGGGUGAGUAACACGUGGGAACGUGCCUUUAGGUUCGGAAUAGCUCCUGGAAACGGGUGGUAAUGCCGAAUGUGCCCUUCGGGGGAAAGAUUUAUCGCCUUUAGAGCGGCCCGCGUCUGAUUAGCUAGUUGGUGAGGUAACGGCUCACCAAGGCGACGAUCAGUAGCUGGUCUGAGAGGAUGACCAGCCACACUGGGACUGAGACACGGCCCAGACUCCUACGGGAGGCAGCAGUGGGGAAUCUUGCGCAAUGGGCGAAAGCCUGACGCAGCCAUGCCGCGUGAAUGAUGAAGGUCUUAGGAUUGUAAAAUUCUUUCACCGGGGACGAUAAUGACGGUACCCGGAGAAGAAGCCCCGGCUAACUUCGUG
rnacentral:rRNA from 1 species